AACGAUAAAGGGGGUGAAAAGCCUCCUCGCCGGAAGACCAAGGGUUCCUGUCCAACGUUAAUCGGGGCAGGGUGAGUCGACCCCUAAGGCGAGGCCGAAAGGCGUAGUCGAUGGGAAGCAGGUUAAUAUUCCUGCACGACUUGUAAUUGCGAUGGGGGGACGGAGAAGGCUAGGUGGGCCAGGCGACGGUUGUCCUGGUGAAAGUGCGUAGGUGGUGUUUCUAGGCAAAUCCGGAGACACAACACUGAGACACGAGACGAACACACUACGGUGUGGAAGCCAUUGAUGCCCUGCUUCCAGGAAAAGCCUCUAAGCUUCAGAUUACAAGUCAUCGUACCCCAAACCGACACAGGUGGUCGGGUAGAGAAUACCAAGGCGCUUGAGAGAACUCGGGUGAAGGAACUAGGCAAAAUAGAACCGUAACUUCGGGAGAAGGUUCGCUCUUGACAGUGAAGUCCCUUGCGGAUGGAGCAGUUGGGAGUCGCAGUGACCAGAUGGCUGGGACUGUUUAUCAAAAACACAGCACUCUGCAAACACGAAAGUGGACGUAUAGGGUGUGACACCUGCCCGGUGCCGGAAGGUUAAUUGAUGGGGUUAGCGCAAGCGAAGCUCUUGAUCGAAGCCCCGGUAAACGGCGGCCGUAACUAUAACGGUCCUAAGGUAGCGAAAUUCCUUGUCGGGUAAGUUCCGACCUGCACGAAUGGUGUAACCAUGGCCAUGCUGUCUCCACCCGAGACUCAGUGAAAUCGAAUUCGCCGUGAAGAUGCGGUGUACCCGCGGCUAGACGGAAAGACCCCGUGAACCUUUACUACAGCUUGGCACUGAACAUUGAACCUACAUGUGUAGGAUAGGUGGGAGGCUUUGAAGGCGUGACGCCAGUUGCGCUGGAGCCGUCCUUGAAAUACCACCCUUGUAUGUUUGAUGUUCUAACGCAGGGCCCUGAAUCGGGCUCGCGGACAGUGCCUGGUGGGUAGUUUGACUGGGGCGGUCUCCUCCCAAAGAGUAACGGAGGAGCACGAAGGUUGGCUAAUCCUGGUCGGACAUCAGGAGGUUAGUGCAAUGGCAUAAGCCAGCUUAACUGCGAGACGGACAGGUCGAGCAGGUACGAAAGUAGGUCAUAGUGAUCCGGUGGUUCUGAAUGGAAGGGCCAUCGCUCAACGGAUAAAAGGUACUCCGGGGAUAACAGGCUGAUACCGCCCAAGAGUUCAUAUCGACGGCGGUGUUUGGCACCUCGAUGUCGGCUCAUCACAUCCUGGGGCUGAAGUCGGUCCCAAGGGUAUGGCUGUUCGCCAUUUAAAGUGGUACGCGAGCUGGGUUCAGAACGUCGUGAGACAGUUCGGUCCCUAUCUGCCGUGGGCGUUGGAUGAUUGAAGGGAGUUGCUCCUAGUACGAGAGGACCGGAGUGAACGAACCUCUGGUGUUCGGGUUGUCACGCCAGUGGCACUGCCCGGUAGCUAAGUUCGGAAUCGAUAACCGCUGAAAGCAUCUAAGCGGGAAGCGAGCCCUGAGAUGAGUCAUCCCUGACCCCUUGAGGGUCCUAAAGGGCCGUUGGAGACCACAACGUUGAUAGGUGGGGUGUGUAAGUGCAGCGAUGCGUUGAGCUAACCCGUACUAAUUACCCGUGAGGCUUAACCAUACAACACC
rnacentral:rRNA from 1 species